rnacentral:rRNA from 1 species
AUUGAACGCUGGCGGCAUGCCUUACACAUGCAAGUCGAACGGCAGCACGGGUGCUUGCACCUGGUGGCGAGUGGCGAACGGGUGAGUAAUACAUCGGAACAUGUCCUGUAGUGGGGGAUAGCCCGGCGAAAGCCGGAUUAAUACCGCAUACGAUCUACGGAUGAAAGCGGGGGCCCUCCGGGCCUCGCCCAUUAGGGUUGGCCGAUGGCUGAUUAGCUAGUUGGUGGGGUAAAGGCCUACCAAGGCGACGAUCAGUAGCUGGUCUGAGAGGACGACCAGCCACACUGGGACUGAGACACGGCCCAGACUCCUACGGGAGGCAGCAGUGGGGAAUUUUGGACAAUGGGCGAAAGCCUGAUCCAGCAAUGCCGCGUGUGUGAAGAAGGCCUUCGGGUUGUAAAGCACUUUUGUCCGGAAAGAAAUCCUUGGCUCUAAUACAGUCGGGGGAUGACGGUACCGGAAGAAUAAGCACCGGCUAACUACGUG